rnacentral:lncRNA from 1 species
UUCCAACUCGAGGUUCUAACUGCCCCUGUGACAUCUGACAAACAUCUCCAGCUUCAUGUGUUCAAAAGGGCAAGGGUUGAUUGGACCAUGGUACUGUUCUCCCUCACCUGCCCAAGAAGGCUAUCCCCACUCACCCCCGCUCAUCUUGCCUUGUAAAGGGCAUCACCACCUAUAUCUGCUCCAGGCAGAAACCACACGCUCCCCAGUCCUGCAUCAAUCCUGCCUCCUCCAUCUCCAUGAUGCCUCUUAACUCCCUCCACCUCUCCAUCUCCAUGGCCACCACCUGCUCUCACCUGGCGUCCUCCUCCUUGGUCUUCUCCUUCUACUUUUAUUCUUGUCAACUCCAUUAGACACAGCCAGAGGCCACCUCCUAAAAUAGGAGCUGACUUAUGUCCCUUUUCUCAUUAAAACUCUUCAGUGGCUUCACAUGGCACUGAGAAGAAAACUCAGGCUCCUUCCCAGCCCUGUGCACAUGUCCCCUGCAUGUCUCCCCACUUCCUCUCCUACCCUGCCCUCCUUAGGCCCUGGCCUCCCUCAUCUUCUCCUGGUUCCCGGAGCACACUGAGCUCUUUUCCUUCACAAGGCCUUGGAGCAUGCUGCUCCAUCUGCCUGGAAACCUCUCCCUCAAGACUCAGUACAUGAGUCACCUCCCCAUAGACGCUUCCCCUGACCCUCUGUGUUGGUCUGCUCUGGCUCUCAUAAGAAAAUACCAGAGACUGAGUGGCUUAAACAAAAGACAUUUAUUUUCUCACAGUCCUGGAGGCUGGAAGUCCAAGACCAAGGUGUUCGCAGGGUUGGUUUCUUCUAAGGCCUCUCUCCUUGGCUUGGAGAUGGCCCUGGUUGGUCUUCUGAGUGCAGGUGUCCCUGGUGUCUCUUUGUGUGUCCAGAUUUUCUCUUAUAAGGACACUGGUGAGAUUGGAUGAGGGGCCCCCUGACGGCCUCAUCUUAAUGUAAUCACCUCUCUUAUCUCCAUAUCCAUUCACAUACGGGCCAUUGCGAGCUACCGGGGAUUAGGGGUUCAACACAUAAAUUGGGGGUGGGGGGGUGCAGCUCAGCCCAUAAACAUGCCCCCUCUGGCUCGCUCUCCCAGGGCAUCCAUCGUAGCACUUAGAAAAAUGAUCACUUCUUCUUUUUUGGCUUUGUGGUGGCGUGUGUGUGUGUGUAUUUGUAUAUACACACAUAUAUAUAUAAAUACACAGACACACAUAUAUACAAACACACGCAUUCAUUUUCGUCCACAGUUCCUGGCUCAUAACUCCCACAGCCCUUGUUACACUCUUUUGUUACAACAUUGGGUGUGUCAGGCCUCAGGAGACAAUCACUCUAACCUCCUGCCCUUCCUUUUACCUGCCCAAG